UGUAGUCUCGCACAGAUGCAUAUCAAUAAGCGGAGGAAAAGAAACUAACAAGGAUUCCCUCAGUAACGGCGAGUGAAGCGGGAAGAGCUCAAAUUUGAAAUCUUGAAAGGUCACCUUUCACGAAUUGUAGUUUAAAGAAGUGUUUUCUGUUACGAUCGUAAUAUAAGUUCUUUGGAAUAGGACAUCACAGAGGGUGAGAAUCCCGUCUAUGAUUGCGAUUUGUAGCUUUGUGAUACACUUUCAAAGAGUCGGGUUGUUUGGGAAUGCAGCCCAAAACGGGAGGUAAAUUUCUUCUAAGGCUAAAUAUUGGCGAGAGACCGAUAGCGAACAAGUACCGUGAGGGAAAGAUGAAAAGAACUUUGAAAAGAGAGUUAAAUAGUACGUGAAAUUGUCAAAAGGGAAGCGUUUAACACCAGUGUUGUUUUCUGAAAAUCAACCUCUGUUAGCUUUAUGCAUGUUUGUUUAGACCUAAUCAGCUAUCUUGCAUGUUCUAUUGUUUGCAGUGGUGCACUUUUCAGUUUACAUGUCAACAUCAGUUUUUUUUACCGUAAAAAAGUUAAAGAAAGGUAGCUCAUGGCUCCGGUCGUGAGUGUCAUAGUCUUUUUCCUAUGCGGUAGGAGAGACUGAGGUCUGCAGUGUAGGCUAUUUGGCUAAAUACUCAGGUGCUAUGUGAUACCAUUUCAUAAACAACUUGUUGAUUAUGUUUUGUCUAUUGCAUACUCGCUUGUACUAUCAUACCUACGCUUAGGAUGUUGAGUCGUAGAGCACGCAG
rnacentral:rRNA from 1 species